rnacentral:rRNA from 1 species
CCUGGGAAACUGGGUCUAAUUCCGGAUAGGACCGUCCACCGCAUGGUGGGUGUUGGAAAGAUUUAUCGGUCUUGGAUGGACUCGCGGCCUAUCAGCUUGUUGGUGAGGUAAUGGCUCACCAAGGCGACGACGGGUAGCCGGCCUGAGAGGGUGACCGGCCACACUGGGACUGAGACACGGCCCAGACUCCUACGGGAGGCAGCAGUGGGGAAUAUUGCACAAUGGGCGAAAGCCUGAUGCAGCGACGCCGCGUGAGGGAUGACGGUCUUC